UGCAGGGGCACAUCCAUUUACUUUUCAACUGCUAAGACGUUUCGUUUCAACUGCUAAGACGGUCGAAGCUCUCAGCAGGGAGUAUUGGCCACAGUGGAAGUUAGACGCUGAGUUAUGACACGUCCUUGUCAGUCUUCCCCGGAAAGCAGGAGUGAACCUAUGUGAUGAUUUGCAAAGGAUGGGUGGGGGCAACUCAACUCUGGAGCUUUCAGAGGGGAAAACAGGGCACGCCAAAGAGAAGGGCCCCCAGUUGCCUCCUCCUGUCCUGCCUCAGGACUGAGAAAUCUGAAAAAGACGCUGCCUUUUUAUAGUUGCCUGUGGGGAAAGAAAGCACUGGGUUCCUCGUGGCCUGAGUCUAGAAUGGUAAAACAAUCAGGACGGCAUCUUUGAAAUACAACGCCCACUACAGAAAUGGAUGAUGGGAAAGAAAGGAGAGCUGAGAAACAGUGGUGGACGCUUCAAAAAUGGUGCCACCGUGCCCCCAAAAUAUGGCACCUCAGUGGUGAAAUGCCACUUCAUCUGCCAUGUAGGAAAAGUACGAACCUCAGCUUGUUUUUGGAUCCAGUUCCUCACUUUCCGCUCCUUCAGACUCUAAAGGUCGAUGCUCAAGCACUGAGCCACACCAGCCGGGCAGGGGACAUUUUCUUGGUGAUAAUCUCAGCAUCCAAGAAUCACAGGACAGGAGAGAGGCCUCUGACAGCUUCCAGUCUAUCCCAGUAAUAGCACUGGGAGGAAAUCAAAUCAAUAGUGGACAAGACUCAACGUGUCAUGUGGCGAAAGGAUCACGAUAGAAUCUAGAUCUGCUUAAUUCCUGGCCCAGAGUACAUCCAGCCGCUCCUCUU